rnacentral:tRNA from 1 species
GGCAGUAUGGUGUAGUGGUUUAAAUGUUGGACUCUGACUCUGGAGACCAGGGUUCGAUUCCUAGCUCAGCCA